CAUCUCUCUUCUCUUCUUUCUUCCAUAUUCAAGCAAAAAGACAUCCUUUGCAAGGGAGCUAGUACCCCGGUGAGGAUAUCGAUCAAACCAAGAACCUCGUGUGGAUACCUAUAGAGGCCGGACGCGUGUGCGGCUUCAAGAGAACCCGAUUCCACGAUCAUCAAGUUGAGGUGAAUAUCUAUCCGCGAAAAAGGUAAAGAUUUGAUCUUGCUUUUCUCCUUUAAUCUUAAAGAACAUGAGGGAUUCUAAUAUAUUGCAUGGUUUGUGAGAUUGGAUCUCGAGAGUUUUCAAAAUCAAAUUUGUUUGAUUUCUUUUUCCGCUGCGUUUUUACCAUACGUAAUUUUCUAACACGGGUUGCACAUGAUCUCAAUACCGAAAAAAUAUUUAAA
rnacentral:lncRNA from 1 species